GGGGUGUGAAUCUUUACUGCUGUCACGAUUUGAUUCGAUUACGAUUAUCCUGUCAACGAUACAAAUCGAUUCGAUAUCAUGAUGCUUCAAAUAACUGUUUCU